UGAGGAAUAUUGGUCAAUGGACGAGAGUCUGAACCAGCCAAGUCGCGUGAAGGAAGACUGCCUUAUGGGUUGUAAACUUCUUUUAUAUAGGAAUAAAGUGCCUUACGUGUAGGGUUUUGCAAGUACUAUAUGAAUAAGCAUCGGCUAACUCCGUGCCAGCAGCCGCGGUAAUACGGAGGAUGCGAGCAUUGCAUCGGGAUUUAUUGGAGUUUAAAGGGUGCGCUUGGCGGGAAAUUAAGUCAGGGGUGAAAUCUGGACGCUCAACGUUCAAAUUGCCUUUGAAACUGGUUUGUCUUGAGUGUAGAUGAAGUAGGCGGAAUACGUUGUGUAGCGGUGAAAUGCAUAGAUAUAAGCAAGGAACUCCAAUUGCGUAGGCAGCUUACUAAACUAUAACUGACGCUCAUGCACGAAAGUGUGGGUAUCAAACAGGAUUAGAUACCCUGGUAGUCCACACAGUAAACGAUGAUUACUAGUUUUUGUGCGAUAUACAGUAAGAGACUAAGCGAAAGCGAUAAGUAAUCCACCUGGGGAGUACGUCGGCAACAAUGUAUUACUCAAAUGAAUUGACGGA
rnacentral:rRNA from 1 species